GAAGUUCCGAUCUUCUCUCAAUUCAGCAGCAUUCUUCCUUUCUUUGUUGUGCAUAAUUAGAAUCUAAAAGAAGGAAAUCAAAGAAGAAGAAUUCAUCUUCUUUUCCCUUGGACAACAGCCUUUGGAAAAACAGGAAACCGGAUCCUCUCCAUCUCCCUCUUUUGGUUCAGCCUUGUAGAAAGAAGGAAAGGAAGGAUCCUCUCCAUUACACUCACUUGGCCGGAUCUAGUGUGUGGGAGUGUUGUGUAUUUCACAAGAUAUCCUACAGAUAUUUGGAGAUAGCAAAGACUCUUAGUAGUAUCGAUACCAGGGAAAUUUAAAGAUCUUGGAGCUUAACGAAAGGCUGCAUAUCUAGGAGAGAUUUUUGGUGACUAGUUAGUUGGAAAAAUCCUAUGUGAUUUAUUUUUUAUGUAUAGG